rnacentral:lncRNA from 1 species
UGAAACUGUAUCAUUUUAAUAUUUUAAUAAUCAAAAUAUGAUUCUCUUCCCAACUCAACCGUCUGUACCCAGAUAACAAUCCCCUUUUCCCUUUCACUUUCUACAUAUCUAAAAGAGAAGGUAAAGAGGGAAAUUCUGAAUGGAAAACUUUAGAGGCCACUGGCUGGGUAAGUAGGGCAGAGACCAAGUGAGGGCUGAGAAGAAAGGGAGCAGAGAGUGGACAGCAGGAGAGGGUAGAUGAAGUCAUUGGACAGAGAAUCUGAGCUGCAAAUGGAAGGCAAGGAGGAGAAUCUCAGAAGCUUCCUCCUUGGUCUUCACCAGGUUGGGAAUGGGUUGCCGAAGGGGAGAGGGCAUAUUUUUAGCAUGCAAGUUCCCCAACCCUGCAGUCAAGUUCAGGGAGAGGGCUGGAGAGCUCAGUUCCAUGGCUUGCAGAGGGAAGCUGCAGGGAGUUGCUACUGAGCCCAACUGAGAUUUAGCACAUUGAUUUUUGCCUUUAUUUUUUUCUAGGUGCUGCGGUUUGUGAUUGAGUGGGGAGGUUGGGGAGGACAGCCAAGGCUUUUAAAGGUGCCAAUACUCUAGCAAGAAAUAAGGAAGAGUGGCUGCUAAAAGAGCUGAGAUUUUCCAUUCUACCCUCCUGUGCCUCAUUUUUCUUUUCCUCUUUCCACUUUCUUGGCUGAGCCUGCUUGUCAGUGAGAUGAUCAACAGCUGUGGGAAGCACAGAGUAGUAGGAAGAGGGCUCCGAGCAGGAGUCGGGACAUUUGUCCUGAGUGGGGCUGAUGGCAUAAACCUGACCUUGGCCGCCCAGCUCCUUGGCCCAGGUCCACCUUCCUUCAUUCACUGUUUCACUCUCGUAUCCACCGAAUACCUAUGCAGCGUCUACUAUGGAGUGUCUACUGAAGUCAAGCACUAGGCAUCCCAUUGUGACAAAAUAGACAUGGUCCUGACCUCAAGGGGCUUACACUCUGGGAAGAUAGGUAACAUUGAAUAAAUGGCAAGAAACCAAUAUGUGAUUACAGAUCAUUGAUAAGUGCUGCAAAGGAAAACAAGAGGACUCUAUGAAGGAGAAUUACCAGGUAGAGGCUGCCUACUUUAGAUAGUGGUCAGGGAUGGUUUCUCUGAGAAGAGACAUUUAAGCUAGAACCUGAAGGAUGACAUAAAGCAGAGUCUCUACCUCUAUGUCCAUCAUUCAAUAAAUAUUUAGUCAAUCCUAAUGUGUGCCAGGCAGCAUUCUUGCUGGGAACACAGCAUUAAACAAAACAGAACAAAACAGACUAAGUUCCUCUUCUCAUGAAGCAGGGGCACAGAUCAUGGAAACCACUAUCAGAACUUGGGAUUUCAUUUAUGUCCAAUGUGAGUCAGGCAUCUCUCCUGGUGGCUGUCUUCCAUGUGGUGACUUAUGUAUCCAGGAUCCUUCUACUGUGUUUCUCCUCCAUUGCGAAGUCCUUCACUUCCAGCACCUGAGACAUUUUUUGGGUAUAUCUACAAGUGGCAUAUAUCACUUCUGCCCACAUUCACCUGGGUAGAACUCAAUCACAUUGUUUCACCUAACUGCAAGUGAGGCUGUGGAAUAUAGUCUCCCUAUGUGCCCAAGCAGAAGAAACAGGAUUGUGUGACUCUACAAUGUGUGAUUGCUCCUGGUGAAUCAAAAGGAUAAAGCUGCUGAUUCUGCAAUUUGAUAACCCAACCAUGCUGACCUCAAAGUGUAGUCAAUCCAUGAAGUUCCUCCCACCACAGCUCAUCCUGAACACUGCCCACCUGAGUCAUCAAGAAAGAUUUCACCUGAUUCUUGGCCACAAAGUUUCAAGGGAACCAGAGCUAAUGAAGACAGCAUGGAAGGGCACCGCCGAGACCUACCUGUGGGAGUCCACCUCACCCUCAAGAACAGCUACCAUUUUAACACAGAUGGAUAAACCCCAUGAAAGUGAACUUCCUAAAUGCAAAUUCUGAUCUUGAAGCCCCAGCUGGCACAUCUACUGGAGACCCUCCCAAGCAACAAGAUGUAGAUGCUUUAGAGAUAACAAACUAUACAAGUUGUCUUCCAUUCUUUCUCCUUCCUCUAUUUUCAACACGGAUAAAAUACAUAUAUAUUUAUCUUGCUGAGCUCAGUAGGAUUAUUUAGCUUUAUUUCCAUGGCUGCCUUUUCUUAAUGUAAUAGAAUUUCCAAUCGAGCUUAUUACUUCCUUCCGUCACAAGCCUGAGGUCCUUUCACACCCAUCCUGUCCUUGGCAAAGAUCUUUGGAAAGUAGCCUGGGACAUACCUAGUGGUAAGCCACCUGCUCUGGGUUGAGGGUGGAUCUAUUCUAGUCAGAGGCUUUGUGAUCUGGACAAAGGAAUUGAGUAUGUGGCUGUCAAACUGUCAGGCAAUACUAAAUUUGGCUGGCCAGCUGAAUUCUAGCAGAAAAUCAUGCAAAAUAAGGUUUAGCAAUUGGGGAAAAAUGGCCCACAGGAAAAACAAAGGGAUGAAAUUCCGUAGGACUACACGGCCAUAGAAUUCUAACUUGAGGGCUGCAACCAGCUAUGUGACCUUGUAGUACAAGGACCAGUCUUCAGAUACAAAAUAGAGUUUGGAGUUAAAGGGAUCUUUGAGAAGAAGCCAUUAUCCACCCCCUCCUCCCAAUUUUAUAUGCCCUAAGAAAAAGGUUUCUUUCAACUUAGAAAGGUAUGAUUCUUGAAGUGCACUUCCUCCGAGUUUUCCUGAGCCUCUCAAUCAAAAUGACUUGCACCUGCCCAUCCAUUCCCAUUGGCUUAUGCUCCUACCCUGCAGUAUUGGCUUCAUUAUGCCUCACCUUGUACACCUGUCUGAUUCCUCUCCUAGAUUAUCAGCACCUUGACAAUGGGCUCGUAUCUUGUGUAUCCCUGAAUUUCCAGGGACAAUGAUAGUGCCUGCCACAUAAUUGAUGGUCAAUAAAUUUUGGUUAAAUAGUAACAAGAAACUCCCAUUUAAAAAAUGUGUUAUCGUUAUCAUUCUCAAUCUGGAUGCUCUCCUCUAUACACAGUUUUAUUCAGUAACUCUCUUAAAAUUGUAAAGGUGAGAAAUUGAACACAGUUUCCCAGGUCUUUGAGCAGCACGAGAUACAGGGAGAAAAAAAAUGCUUUGUGCUUGAAUACUUUACUUCUGAUUGGAGAAAAUAAACACUGCACUGGAUUAUUUUUAAAGAUACAUCACAUUACGUUUGUGAUCAACUGAAAUGCUAAGAUAUUUGCAUGUGGAUUUCUGCCAAGCUGCUUUUCUCCCAUUCUUCAUGUGUGUGAUUGAUCUUGAAAUCAAAUGGUGGGACUUUAUAUAUUUUUUUGUUUUAACUCAAGGUAAAGUCUGACAAAAAUCACGUUAAAUUUGAUGCUGUCAGUGAAGACAUUAGCAAUCCUUCCUGGCUUAAGGUCACUGGCAAAUUUGAUAUACUUAUCUUUUGUGGGGUUUUUUUGUUGGUUUUUUUAAGACAGGG